GGAAGUCGCCGGUAAUUGCGGGAAUUUAUUGGGUUUAAAGGGUCCGUAGGCGGAUCCGUAAGUCAGUGGUGAAAUCUCAUAGCUUAACUAUGAAACUGCCAUUGAUACUGCGGGUCUUGAGUAAGGUAGAAGUAGCUGGAAUAAGUAGUGUAGCGGUGAAAUGCAUAGAUAUUACUUAGAACACCAAUUGCGAAGGCAGGUUACUAUGUCUUAACUGACGCUGAUGGACGAAAGCGUGGGGAGCGAACAGGAUUAGAUACCCUGGUAGUCCACGCCGUAAACGAUGCUAACUCGUUUUUGGUUUUUCGGAAUCAGAGACUAAGCGAAAGUGAUAAGUUAGCCACCUGGGGAGUACGAACGCAAGUUUGAAACUCAAAGGAAUUGACGGGGGCCCGCACAAGCGGUGGAUUAUGUGGUUUAAUUCGAUGAUACGCGAGGAACCUUACCAAGACUUAAAUGGGAAUUGACAGAUUUAGAAAUAGAUCCUCCUUCGGG
rnacentral:rRNA from 1 species